ensembl:lncRNA
CCCUUCAGAAUGAACAUUUUGCCUACCUUUAAUUUGAAAUUUCACUUCAGAUGAAACCCUGUGAAGCCGAUUGGAACGUACCCUGAGAUGAUGUCAGGGAAGAAAACAGAAAAACACCGGGAGCAAAAGGUUACCUUCUCCACAGAAACAUGUAAACAGACUGAAAGGUCAUCAAACAGAGCCCCUUGCCGCAGCACCCAUCUCUAG